GCCGCGGUGGCGGAACUGGCAGACGCGCUGGACUCAAAAUCCAGUAAUGGCAACAUUGUGAGGGUUCAACUCCCUCCCGCGGCA
rfam:Parcubacteria bacterium GW2011_GWC2_42_6 TV36_C0031, whole genome shotgun sequence.